rnacentral:rRNA from 1 species
GACGUAGGGGGCAAGCGUUAUUCGGAAUCAUUGGGCGUAAAGCGCUCGUAGGCGGAUCGGACAGUCGGUGAAGAAAGACCCGGGCUCAACUCGGGGAACGGCACCGAUACUAUCGAUCUUGAGGCAAUCAGAGGGUGAUGGAAUUCCCGGUGUAGCGGUGAAAUGCGUAGAUAUCGUGAGGAAGACCAGUGGCGAAGGCGGGUCUCUGGACAGUUCCUGACGCUGAGGCGCGAAGGCCAGGGGAGCAAACGGG